GAAAUUUACAUAUAUUUGAUGUCCAUAAAUCUGAGUUUAUGCAAAAGUUUUCCAACUUUUUAUUUUUGAGAUAUAUUUUUAUUAUAUUUUGAGUUGCAAGCCCAAACAAUGCUUGUUUACAUUUAAAAAUCCAUGUUAACUGCUUUAUAUUUUAUAUGAUAUUUGUUGAUUUUAAGUAUCAUAUUACUGGAAAAGUAUUGCUCCAUGUGGCUGUGAGGAUCAUGGAUGAUGUGUGUUUUAGUUAUUAUGACAGAAUGAUUUUGGGAGGUUUAAGGGUGCAAAAAGGGUCUGUGACACAAAGGGGUCUGGAACUUGGGAGAAUUGAAGACACAAAAGGAAAAAAAAAACAUUUAUUACAUUAUGCAACUAAAAUUGCUUUGUUAGUACUGAGG
rnacentral:lncRNA from 1 species